UGUGUGUUAGUGGAAGCGUCUGGAAAGGCGCGCGAUACAGGGUGACAGCCCCGUACACAAAAAUGCACAUGCUGUGAGCUCGAUGAGUAGGGCGGGACACGUGGUAUCCUGUCUGAAUAUGGGGGGACCAUCCUCCAAGGCUAAAUACUCCUGACUGACCGAUAGUGAACCAGUACCGUGAGGGAAAGGCGAAAAGAACCCCGGCGAGGGGAGUGAAAAAGAACCUGAAACCGUGUACGUACAAGCAGUGGGAGCACGCUUAGGCGUGUGACUGCGUACCUUUUGUAUAAUGGGUCAGCGACUUAUAUUCUGUAGCAAGGUUAACCGAAUAGGGGAGCCGAAGGGAAACCGAGUCUUAACUGGGCGUUAAGUUGCAGGGUAUAGACCCGAAACCCGGUGAUCUAGCCAUGGGCAGGUUGAAGGUUGGGUAACACUAACUGGAGGACCGAACCGACUAAUGUUGAAAAAUUAGCGGAUGACUUGUGGCUGGGGGUGAAAGGCCAAUCAAACCGGGAGAUAGCUGGUUCUCCCCGAAAGCUAUUUAGGUAGCGCCUCGUGAAUUCAUCUCCGGGGGUAGAGCACUGUUUCGGCAAGGGGGUCAUCCCGACUUACCAACCCGAUGCAAACUGCGAAUACCGGAGAAUGUUAUCACGGGAGACACACGGCGGGUGCUAACGUCCGUCGUGAAGAGGGAAACAACCCAGACCGCCAGCUAAGGUCCCAAAGUCAUGGUUAAGUGGGAAACGAUGUGGGAAGGCCCAGACAGCCAGGAUGUUGGCUUAGAAGCAGCCAUCAUUUAAAGAAAGCGUAAUAGCUCACUGGUCGAGUCGGCCUGCGCGGAAGAUGUAACGGGGCUAAACCAUGCACCGAAGCUGCGGCAGCGACGCUUAUGCGUUGUUGGGUA
rnacentral:rRNA from 1 species